CCUACGGGCGGCAGCAGUGAGGAAUAUUGGUCAAUGGACGCAAGUCUGAACCAGCCAUGCCGCGUGCAGGAAGACGGCUCUAUGAGUUGUAAACUGCUUUUGUACGAGGGUAAACGCAGACACGUGUAUCUUUCUGAAAGUAUCGUACGAAUAAGGAUCGGCUAACUCCGUGCCAGCAGCCGCGGUAAUACGGAGGAUUCCAGCGUUAUCCGGAUUUAUUGGGUUUAAAGGGUGCGUAGGCGGUCGGAUAAGUUAGUGGUGAAAUCCCGAGGCUCAACUUCGGAAUUGCCUCUGAUACUGUUCGGCUAGAGAGGAGUUGAGGUAGGCGGAAUGUGUGGUGUAGCGGUGAAAUGCUUAGAGAUCAUGCAGAACACCGAUUGCGAAGGCAGCUUACCAAGCUACGACUGACGUUGAGGCACGAAAGCGUGGGGAGCGAACAGGAUUAGAUACCCCAGUAGUC
rnacentral:rRNA from 1 species